rnacentral:rRNA from 1 species
CACGGGGGGAGCAAGCGUUGUUCGGAAUCACUGGGCGUAAAGGGCGUGUAGGCGGUCUGGUAAGUGGGAUGUGAAAGCCCCCGGCUCACCCGGGGAUCUGCAUUCCAAACUGCCAGACUUGAGUAUGGGAGAGGACAGGGGAAUUCCUGGUGUAGCGGUGAAAUGCGUAGAUAUCAGGAGGAACACCGGUGGCGAAAGCGCCUGUCUGGCCCAAUACUGACGCUGAGGAGCGAAAGCGUGGGGAGCAAACAGG